rnacentral:snRNA from 1 species
GUCCUCAUGUCACAGCCCUUGCACUACAAUUGGAAUGACAGAAGAUUAGCAUGACCUCUGAGCAAGGAUGACACGAAAAGCUAUCAAUUGUUCCACAUUAAA